rnacentral:rRNA from 1 species
AGCGAACGUUUGCGGCGGGCCUAACACAUGCAAGUCGAACGCACUAGCAAUAGUGAGUGGCGCACGGGUGCGUAACACGUGGGUAAUCAACCCUUCAGCUUGGGAUAACGACUUGAAAGGGUCGCUAAUACCGGAUACGGCGCGGGAGGCUUCGGCUUCUCACGAGAAAGCCUCGCAAGGGGCACUGAAGGACGAGCCUGCGGCCCAUCAGCUAGUUGGUGAGGUAAGAGCUCACCAAGGCGAAGACGGGUAGCUGGUCUGAGAGGAUGAUCAGCCACACUGGAACUGAGACACGGUCCAGACUCCUACGGGAGGCAGCAGUGGGGAAUAUUGCGCAAUGGGCGAAAGCCUGACGCAGCACGCCGCCGUGAGCGAUGAAGGCUCGGUCGUAA